GCGGGAUAUGUAGUGAGUGAGAGUGGUGUUCACUGCCUUGGUUUAAAUGUUGUCACGUUUUGUAGAAAGUUUUCAACCCAUGUGACCGUUGGUUUGUAUAAUCAGGUUUUGCCAGGUGGAGUAGUAUGGACUAAGUAGUCUGGCCCAGUGGGCAUGGCAUUUGGCAGAAAGACGUCCAAGUCAUAUGGCAUUAAGUGUAAGUGGUGGUGACCAAGAUCGUUUGACAUGCUUUGAAUCUCCCUCGGAUUCUCUCUUGUUUCUGCAAGAGAGAAGGGUUCUUGAGAGUUGAAUAUUGCAUUGGGAAAAAGGAGAAGCACCUCACAACAUUUUAGGUUUUCACGAGACCUCUAAUUCACAUGUUUUGCUGCCAUUCACCACUUGAUUCCCGGGACUCAUCACCUUUAUCCCAUGCUCCACUCCCUCAUGUAUCCUCUCCCUAUAUAUAAUUUGUACACACUAUUAUUACCAUGGUCUGGAAAUGCAUAAAUCCUAUCACAUGAUGCUCUUCAUACG